GUGGGCGUAGCUCAGCUGGUAGAGCCCCAGACUGUGGAUCUGGUUGUCGCGGGUUCGAUCCCCGUCGCUCACCCCA
rnacentral:tRNA from 1 species